GUGUCUUUUGAGAGGAGGUGAUCUCUAGAGGGCCUUUCUAGCAUCAGUUAUUCUGUAAUUUGGGCAAGUUGGGGCCCAGUUCUGUGAGAGAAGUAGAGUGCAGUCAGGAGAGGGGGUGAAAACUGUCUAGGGCCCUCAGCAGAGAAAGCUCCUUAAGUUCAUCCAGGCCCUGGCAUURGAGAGGUGACACCACAAGAGGCAGCACACGUCCACAGACUGCCCAGGCUGRUAUUCAGUGGAAUGGGUGCAAUGUGCAUAUUGCUCUGGACUUCAGCUUCUGGAUCUGAGGAAGGUUCUUUCAUUCAUGCUGUGCUCCAGUUAUGAAAGAAACUGUUAUGGUUCAGACUUGGCAGGCUUCAGAAAAUUCCAGCAGUUCAAAUGCAUUCAAUUAAUAUGCUGAAUAUUGACUCACUGCUUACUCACACGAUGAACAUUUAAAUUAUGCUUUCUCAUUUUCAAAGCAUGUUAUAAAUAACUUUUAAUCCUCACAGCCUGAUGAAGUCAGUUGGCAUCGCUUUUCCCUACUAAUGGAAGAAAACUUUGUAGGAAAAAGUAAUAUCUUUUAUUAGAUGUCAUUACGAUCUUCAUAUUUAUUUCAUGGGAGUAYUUGUGUAAACUUGCACCGAGCUAACUAAUGAAAAAAAUACCAGAAGUAAUAGAAGCACUGAUUGUAAUCCCGGGUGAAURAGAGCAGAGUAAAAGACUCUACAGUUAGUUUCUUUAGGCUCUACCCAGCUGUAGCCUGUCUGUCCUGGAGAGAAAAGGAAGUUUGAAGGGACUCUGCAAAGAUGUAAUGGUGACUCUUGGACACAGAAGCACAAUGUAACUUUGGCAGUGAGGUAUAUUGGUCCUAAAGCAUUUUUUUUAAGUAUAUAUGUAUUUUUUAUGAACUUCCUUGAUAGUAUAUCUGUUGAGAUCACUAAAAGGACAAGAUCAUAUAUUUCAACUUUAAAAAGAAUCUAGAAGUUAGCAURCCUCAUGCACCAUUGCUUGAGGAAAAGUUACAGGGAAAAGCACCCCAAUCCUAUCUAAUUGAGGACCAGAAAAGGAAAGAGGAGUCCUGAGGUAUCAGAAGGUGUGAGGAAGCAAAGGAAGGAAAGAAAGAGGGAGCGAAUGUCUUCAAGAUCUGCCUUUAGCAGCUGCACAGACACAGAUUCCACCAUCCAGCUUGAUAUGACAUGUAUUUGCUAGUUAUUUGACUGCAUUACUUCACUAAAGAAAAAAAUAGUUACUUUCUACAGAAUAUGUUGGAUUUGAGGAAUCCAGAAACUGAAUGUUACGUAGUGAGAAAAGGAACAUUUGGGAACAGAAGCUGCUGUUUUGGUAAGURGUCAUGUUGUGACAUUGAACAGUCUUUGACUAUGGUGUUGCCAGCUAUCCUAAAAACAGGAUUUGGCAGAGCUCUGCAGGGCCUGAAGRGGGUAUUACAGUAGGUGUGUUUGAUUAAUUUGUGUUUUAUAAGUAAACAUGCUUAUCUUCAUAAGCUCAUUUUAAAGUUAGUCCUGUGUUUUAUGGCUCACUUGUUUAAACAGUAAAUGCAGCAUCCUCAUUCAAAGAAGAGCAGCUGUAUUGUUCUGGUGAAACAUAUGUACUUGCAUAAUAUAUAUGCA